rnacentral:lncRNA from 8 species
CAAGUGCACAGAAAUGAUUAGGGGAGUACUGGCUCCUUAUUUUCUCAAAAGGGUAACAUCAGAUGUGGGGGAUGAGAAGUUCAGUCUCCUUUUGGAUGAGUCCACCGAUGUCAAUGUCUCGAAAUACCUGCGUGUGGUGAUUUGGUAUUUCAGUGCUAAAAAUACGAACCGUUGUGCCCACAUUUCUCGGGCUGGCUGAAUUGGAGGCGGGCGAUGCCAGAUCAAUAGCAAAGGCGGAAGUUGAGUUUCUUGAAGUGUAACCUUAAAAAAGAGAAUCUUCAGGGUAUUGGCACUGAUAAUGCGUCCGUGAUGACUGGGGUGCACAAGAUUUUAAAGGAAGAAUGUGCAUUGCCCAAUUUGGUACUCAUCCGCUGUGUGUGCCAGUCUUUACAAUUGGCUGCCAGUGCACCAUCCAAAGAAACCAUCCCUAGGAGUGUUGAGUACUUAAUCAGGGAAACCUACAACUGGUUUUCGAUUUCCCCAAAACGGUGUGAGGCAUACAAAGCAGUGUAUGCCACCAUUAAUUGUGUCCAGAAACCCCUGCAGAUCACCAAAGUGUGUGCCACACGUUGGCUAUUGAUUGAGCCUGUGGUAACUCGUAUAUUGAGCCAGUGGGAAGAACUGAAACUCCACUUUGAGGUGACCAAGGCGGAUGUGCUCCACGCCAUGUACAUGGACAAGACCAACUAUGUCUACCUGACAUUCUUGAAAUCAAUCCUGUCCGGCGUACAAGUUGCAGUGAAGUCAUUUGAGGGAGAGCAAACAGAUCCUGUCAAGCUUUUGGACAAUCUGGUACACCUCUUAACAUCAAUUUGCAGCAGAGUAGUCAACCCUAUGGUAAAAAUUGAUGUCCCGAAGGAUGCCAUUGAUGGACAUCUCAGUCCAUCACCAUACCUUGGGUACCUUUUCAAGAGCACGGUGUACCAACUCAGUCUUGCGCCAGAGGACAAAAAGGUCAUUGGGAGACAGCGCAUCAACUACAUCGUUGCUUUAAACAAUGA